rnacentral:rRNA from 1 species
GAUGAACGCUGGCGGCGUGCCUAAUACAUGCAAGUCGAGCGAACGGACGAGAAGCUUGCUUCUCUGAUGUUAGCGGCGGACGGGUGAGUAACACGUGGAUAACCUACCUAUAAGACUGGGAUAACUUCGGGAAACCGGAGCUAAUACCGGAUAAUAUUUUGAACCGCAUGGUUCAAAAGUGAAAGACGGUCUUGCUGUCACUUAUAGAUGGAUCCGCGCUGCAUUAGCUAGCUGGUAAGGUAACGGCUUACCAAGGCAACGAUGCAUAGCCGACCUGAGAGGAUGAUCGGCCACACUGGAACUGAGACACGGUCCAGACUCCUACGGGAGGCAGCAGUAGGGAAUAUUCCGCAAUGGGCGAAAGCCUGACGGAGCAACGCCGCGUGAGUGAUGAAGGUCUUCGGAUCGUAAAACUCUGUUAUUAGGGAAGAACAUAUGUGUAAGUAACUGUGCACAUCUUGACGGUACCUAAUCAGAAAGCCACGGCUAACUACGUG